GCGACAUCCAAACGCCAGGUGUGCUUAUCUACGUAAAGAUGAUCCUGAUGAUUUAUGGAAUAUACUCCUGAAUCGUUCACAGAAAGAACAGCGGACGACCGAAGAGAUGAAAGAAGUUCGGAGACGUUUGCAGUAAACGAUGUUGCAAAAGCUCAAACGAGCAAUUGAAAUUCAGAUAAAUCCAUACCAGAAGUUCCUGUU